CCCUAUUGUGAACAUAAAAUACCAGUUCCAGGCCUGUUAUUUGCAGAAUCCUUUCACAGGCGAAGCGGUACUUGAAUGUGUAUACAGGUGAUUGAAAGUUGGAUGGGACCUGGGCUUUUCUGAUGGAUCUCAGUCUCUGUUUUCAUGUUUCUCCUUGCUGGGCUAUCCAAAAUGUUAGGACUUACAAAUAUAAUCUUUGGGGAAACAGCAGCCUCAGAUACCCAGUCCAUAUUAAAGUUGAUUUGAUUUGGGUUUAAAAUGGAAACUAUGAGCUAAUGCAUUUUACAGAUUUGAGUAGAGAACAAUUCUCUCUGUUUAAAAAAAAAAAAGAAGUCUGAGAUGUAGAACAUUUUGUGUGGGUUAUCGUAGUGCCAAAAGCUCCUGAGAGGGGUUCUCUGC
rnacentral:lncRNA from 1 species